CGGAGGGUGCAAGCGUUAUCCGGAUUCACUGGGUUUAAAGGGUGCGUAGGUGGGUUGGUAAGUCCGUGGUGAAAUCUCCGAGCUUAACUCGGAAACUGCCGUGGAUACUAUCAAUCUUGAAUAUCGUGGAGGUAAGCGGAAUAUGUCAUGUAGCGGUGAAAUGCUUAGAUAUGACAUAGAACACCGAUAGCGGAGGCAGCUUGCUACACGAUCAUUGACACUGAGGCACGAAAGCGUGGGGAGCAAACAGGAUUAGAUACCCUGGUAGUCCACGCCCUAAACGAUGAUUACUCGACAUACGCGAUACACUGUGUGUGUCUGAGCGAAAGCAUUAAGUAAUCCACCUGGGAAGUACGAUCGCAAGAUUG
rnacentral:rRNA from 1 species